CUUGCAUUCUUUACAGGUUGGUGAAACUACAAAGAGCACUCCAGCUGAAACCAUUCUCUUGACUGUGGCACUGUAUUUUCCCUCUAUAUUUUAUACACCCCAGAACUUAGGUAAUUUUUCUGGCUGGUGCUCCCUACCAAGGCAGCAUUUUCAUGGUCAACCCAAGGUUACAUGUAGGGGCGAUUAGUAAGCGAUGACAACAACUGCAGGGACGAAUGGGGUAAAGAAAUAGGUUACAUUAUUUCUUCCCCUGUGAAAACCUGAAUGUUUCUUUGACCAUUGUGUAGGCCAUUCAUCUUGAUUAGCUUGGUUACUAAAGAUCCCAAUCGAUCAAUUUGAGUUGUGCUGAGCACAGUAUCACUGAGGGAGACACCAGCAGGACCUCGUGUACUUCAUCACCUCCCUGCACACCUGAAAUGUAUGGGUGCUCUGCUGAGCCCUGCAUCCGUGGGGACGUGUCUCCUGUUGGCAAGAGGCACCAGCUGAGCACCUCACAAGGCUUCUGCUUGAACGAAGAAUCCCAUGUCAGCUUUCUGACCCACCAGAGUUCAGGUGACACUUCCAUCCCUCUGGCCCAAGUGACAUCGCCACCAUGAGGAGACAUCUGCGCUGCUCACGUCCAGCUGCUGGGAGGGACAUCAUGCAUUAAACCACAACUGAGAUAAAAGGAAGCACUGCGGCCUGUGGGAAGGGGGGCUGCACUCCCAGCCCCACAAACCGGACAUUUGGGGCCCUUUCCAGACCCCAGGCAUUCCCCCAAGGAAGCAAAGCCGAGCCGCCCCUGCCUACAGAGGAGCGGGGCUGUCCCCGGGGCAGCGGCUCCCCCUGCUGCUGGCAUAGGGCAUGGCUCCGGGCCCCUCUGCAAUGCCUCCCGUCCUUUCCUUCUUCCGAUUUAGGGAAUAAAAAUAGCAAUCAUUUAUUA